CUUCGCCCCCACUCUACCUUCGCCCCCACUCUACCUUCCUUCCUCCACUCUACCUUCCUUCCUCCACUCCUCCACCCUGCUCUAUGCUUCCACCCUGCUCUAUCCUUAUACCCUCCUCUACCUUUCUCCACCUGCUCUAUCCUUCCACCCUCCUCUACCUUUCUCCACCCUCCUGUACCUUCGCCCCUCCUCUACCUUCAUCCACCCUCCUCUACCUUCAUCCACCCUCCUCUACCUUCAUCCACCCUUCUCUACCCUUCCACCCUCCUCUACCCUUCCCCCCUCCUCUUCCACCCUCCUCUACCUUCCAUCCUCCACUCUUCCACCCUCCUCUACCUUCCAUCCUCCACUCUUCCACCCUCCUCUACCUUCCAUCCUCCACUCUUCCACCCUCCUCUACCUUCCAUCCUCCACUCUUCCCCCCUCCUCUACCUUCCAUCCUCCACUCUUCCCCCCUCCUCUACCUUCCAUCCUCCACUCUUCCCCCCUCCUCUACCUUCCAUCCUCCACUCUUCCCCCCUCCUCUACCUUCCAUCCUCCACUCUUCCCCCCUCCUCUACCUUCCAUCCUCCACUCUUCCCCCCUCCUCUACCUUCCAUCCUCCACUCUUCCCCCCUCCUCUACCUUCCAUCCUCCACUCUUCCCCCCUCCUCUACCUUCCAUCCUCCACUCUUCCCCCCUCCUCUACCUUCCAUCCUCCACUCUUCCACCCUCCUCUACCUUCCAUCCUCCACUCUUCCACCCUCCUCUACCUUCCAUCCUCCACUCUUCCACCCUCCUCUACCUUCCAUCCUCCACUCUUCCACCCUCCUCUACCUUCGCCCCUCUGCCUUCCCCCUCCUCUACCCUCCACUCUUCCCCCCUCCUCUACCUUCCAUCCUCCACUCUUCCACCCUCCUCUACCUUCCCCCCUCCACUCUUCCACCCUCCUCUACCUUUCUCCACCCUCCUCCCCCUCCAGUAAGAUGAUGACCCAUGUAGCGUCCCGGUUCUCCUCUUCCUGUGUGUAGCGUCCCGGUUCUCCUCUUCCUGUGUGUAGCGUCCCGGUUCUCCUCUUCCUGUGUGUAGCGUCACGGUUCUCCUCUUCCUGUGUGUAGCGUCACGGUUCUCCUCUUCCUGUGUGUAGCGUCACGGUUCUCCUCUUCCUGUGUGUUCUACUGAAUGGACUACUUCAGAGACCAGCCCCUCCUCUACCCCCCAGGGUUUGACGGGCGGGUGAUUCUGUAUCCUAGCAACCGCAACCUCCGGGACUACCUCAGCUGGAGGCAGGCUGACUGUAUACACUCGCACUUAAAUACUCACAUUCUCCUAUCCCCCAAUACAUUAUUCUGUGUGUGUGUGUGUGUGUGUGUGUGUGUGUGUGUGUGUGUGUGUGUGUGUGUGUGUGUGUGUGUGCUUUGAAUACAGUAGAUUUUCUGCUCAUCUUUCAUAAUGGUGUGUGUGUUCGCCAGGUCAGUCAACAACCUGUAUAACACAGUGUUUUGGACGUUGGUGCAGAAAGGCGGACUCACCACUACACAGACAGAGGAACGACUAAAGCUGGAAGAAACAGUGACCACGCGUGUGAAGAUCCCCAACAAGGAGGAGGAGGAGCCAGUGGCACGAACCAGGAGGCGUGUCAGUGCCCACCGCUGUGACGUCAUAGGGGAGGAGUUCUGGGAGGAACACCCCAACAUUCUAGAAGACGACUGCUGAAAAGGUUUCCUAGAGGAGGAGAAACCUGCACAGUGGUUAACGUUGAACAUGGACAGAGUCUAGGGGGGGGUUGUACUUCUAUAUGCUCCUGCUGUGGGAUGGAGAGGGUUGGAAGCUGUCAGGGACUGUAUGGAUACUCUUAAUCACUAACUCUUGAUUGGAACAAACUGUCAGCGGUGGCAUAACUCAAACACCAUCAUGCUCUUUGCUCAUGUACUGUAUACAAAUAUUUUAAAUACGGCCUGUCUUAUGUCUGGAACCAUUAAACCAAGAGAAUGUGUAUUGUUGAUGAUGUUUUGCCGGUGGUGAUGCUGGCAUAUUAUAUCAUCAUAAUAAACGAGUAGGCUUACUGUUGGGUGUGUGGGCAUGUGCCAGUUAACCAGAGAGAGAUCUGCUUGUCACACUGAGAAGCAUGUCUGAUCAUAUGUCUCACUGAGAAGCAUGUCUGAUCAUAUGUCUCACUGAGAAGCAUGUCUGAUCACCUCUGGCUCCUGUCACCUCUCACUUGUCUCACUGAGAAGAAUGUCUGAUCAUGUCUCACUGAGAAGCAUGUCUGAUCAUGUCUCACUGAGAAGCAUGUCUAAUCAUAUGUCUCACUGAGAAGCAUGUCUGAUCAUAUGUCUCACUGAGAAGCCUGUCUGAUCAUAUGUCUCACUGAGAAGCAUGUCUGAUCAUAUGUCUCACUGAGAAGCCUGUCUGAUCAUAUGUCUCACUGAGAAGCAUGUCUGAUAAUAUGUCUCACUGAGAAGCAUGUCUGAUCAUAUGUCUCACUGAGAAGCAUGUCUGAUCAUAUGUCUCACUGAGAAGCCUGUCUGAUCAUAUGUCUCACUGAGAAGCAUGUCUGAUCAUAUGUCUCACUGAGAAGCAUGUCUGAUCAUAUGUUUCACUGAGAAGCAUGUCUGAUUAUAUGUUUCACUGAGAAGCCUGUCUGAUCAUAUGUCUCACUGAGAAGCCUGUCUGAUCAUAUGUCUCACUGAGAAGCAUGUCUGAUUAUAUGUUUCACUGAGAAGCAUGUCUGAUUAUAUGUCUCACUGAGAAGCAUGUCUGAUCAUAUGUCUCACUGAGAAGCAUGUCUAAUCAUAUGUCUCUCUGAGAAGCAUGUCUGAUCAUAUGUCUCACUGAGAAGCAUGUCUGAUCAUAUGUCUCACUGAGAAGCAUGUCUGAUCAUAUGUCUCACUGAGAAGCAUGUCUGAUCAUAUGUCUCACUGAGAAGCCUGUCUGAUCAUAUGUCUCACUGAGAAGCAUGUCUGAUCAUAUGUCUCACUGAGAAGCCUGUCUCAUCAUAUGUCUCACUGAGAAGCCUGUCUGAUCAUAUGUCUCACUGAGAAGCAUGUCUGAUUAUAUGUCUCACUGAGAAGCAUGUCUGAUUAUAUGUCUCACUGAGAAGCAUGUCUGAUUAUAUGUCUCACUGAGAAGCAUGUCUGAUUAUAUGUCUCACUGAGAAGCAUGUCUGAUCAUACUUAAUCUUCCUUGUGGGUGUGAACUGAAUUUCAAAUCUCACCAUUUCAAUUCACAAAGGACAAUUCUGUAGUCUUUGAAUAUGAAUGUUUCAGCCUGUGUUUCCAUGGUGUCCCAGCAGGUUUCAGUGUGUGUGCCUGCGUGCGGUGGCUUUUAACGGAAGCACAUAGAAAUCAAUAGCUGACCAAUAAAUGACUGGUGUUUCGGUGCCAGAGUUCCUUUUAGAAGAGCGAAGCACACUCUGGGCUGUGUGCCACUGCGCACUAGACACUUCUAAUAUUAUCACGCACUAGACACUUCUAAUAUUAUCAGACACUAGACACUUCUAAUAUUAUCACGCACUAGACACUUCUAAUAUUAUCA